GACGAACGCUGGCGGCGUGCCUAAUACAUGCAAGUCGGACGCAAGGACACACACUGUGCUUGCACACCGUGUUGUCUUGAGUCGCGAACGGGGGAGGUAACCGUAGGUAACCUGCCGAUUAGCGGGGGAUAACUAUUGGAAACGAAAGCUAAUACCGCAUAAUAUUAAUUAUUGCAUGAUAAUUUAUUGAAAGAUGCAAUCGAAUCACUAGUAGAUGGACCUGCGGUGUAUUAGCUAGUUGGUAAGGUAAGAGCUUACCAAGGCGAGGAUACGUAGCCGACCGGAGAGGGUGGUCGGCCGCACUGGGACUGUGACACGGCCCAGUCUGCUUCGGGAAGCAGCAGUAGGGAAACUUCGGCAAUGGGCGGAAAUCUGACCGAACCGCGCCGCGGGAGUGAAGAAGGUUUUCGGGUCGUAAAGCACUGUUUUAGGUCAAGAACGUGUGUGAGCGUGGAAAGUUCACACAGUGACGGUAGCUGACCAGAAAGAACCGGCUAACUACGUG
rnacentral:rRNA from 1 species